rnacentral:rRNA from 1 species
CGGGUGAGUAACACGUGGAUAACCUACCUAUAAGACUGGGAUAACUUCGGGAAACCGGAGCUAAUACCGGAUAAUAUUUUGAACCGCAUGGUUCAAAAGUGAAAGACGGUCUUGCUGUCACAUAUAGAUGGAUCCGCGCUGCAUUAGCUAGUUGGUAAGGUAACGGCUUACCAAGGCAACGAUGCAUAGCCGACCUGAGAGGGUGAUCGGCCACACUGGAACUGAGACACGGUCCAG